rnacentral:rRNA from 1 species
UACAGAGGUCCCAAGCGUUGUUCGGAUUCACUGGGCGUAAAGGGUGCGUAGGUGGUUGGGUAAGUCUGAUGUGAAAUCUCCGGGCUCAACCCGGAAAUGGCAUUGGAUACUAUUCGGCUAGAGGUUUGGAGGGGGGACUGGAAUUCUCGGUGUAGCAGUGAAAUGCGUAGAUAUCGAGAGGAACACCAGUGGCGAAGGCGAGUCCCUGGACAACUCCUGACGCUGAGGCACGAAAGCUAGGGGAGCAAACAGG